CAAGUCGCCACGGGAAAACGAAGGGGGCUAGCGUCGUUCGGAUUUACUGGGCGUAAAGCGCACGUAGGCGGAUUCUUAAGUCAGAGGUGAAAUCCCAAGGCUCAACCUUGGAACUGCCUUUGAUACUGGGGAUCUCGAGUCCGGGAGAGGUGAGUGGAACUGCGAGUGUAGAGGUGAAAUUCGUAGAUAUCGGAAGGAACACCUGUGGCGAAAGCGGCUCACUGGACCAUUUCUGACGCUGAUGCACGAAAGCUAGGGGAGCAAACAGGAUUAGAGACCCGCGUAGUCCCUGUCUCUUAUA
rnacentral:rRNA from 1 species